AUAGCGCUUAAGCGCGAACUUCGA
rnacentral:snRNA from 1 species